AUGCAUUGGCCUGUAAGAAACCAUUCUCUCCUUCAAAAUAUUGUUGUUGAUGAGACCCGAGAAACCAAUCUGAGGGAUCAAGAUAUUGAUAAAGAUGUGUUGGACAUCCAGUCUGACAUAUUGGAAAUAAAGUCUCUAAUUCAUAAGGAGAAUGAUAAUGUGAACCCUGAGUAUAAUGUUGAAAAGGAGGAUGAGAAAAUUUUUACCAACAACCCUUAA